rnacentral:rRNA from 1 species
AGAUUGAACGCUGGCGGCAUGCCUUACACAUGCAAGUCGAACGGCAGCACGGGAGCAAUCCUGGUGGCGAGUGGCGAACGGGUGAGUAAUACAUCGGAACGUGCCCAAUCGUGGGGGAUAACGCAGCGAAAGCUGUGCUAAUACCGCAUAAGAUCUACGGAUGAAAGCAGGGGAUCGCAAGACCUUGCGCGAAUGGAGCGGCCGAUGGCAGAUUAGGUAGUUGGUGAGGUAAGCUACGACCAAGCCUUCGAUCUGUAGCUGGUCGUGAGAGGACGACCAGCCACACCGUGGGACUGACGACGACCGGCCAGACCUACCGUACGGGAGCAGGCAAGGUGGGUAAGUUUAGGACUAAGUGGGCGACAAGCCUAGACUCCAGACAAGUCGCCGCGUCGACGAAGGAAGACGGUCCGUUU